rnacentral:rRNA from 1 species
GACAGAGGAUGCAAGCGUUAUCCGGAAUGAUUGGGUCGUAAAGCGUCUGUAGGUGGCUUUUCAAGUCCGCCGAUCAAAUCCCAGGGCUCAACCCUGGACAGGCGGUGGAAACUACCAAGCUGGAGUACGGUAGGGGCAGAGGGAAUUUCCGGUGGAGCGGUGAAAUGCAUUGAGAUCGGAAAGAACAACCAAGGCGAAAGCACUC